rnacentral:lncRNA from 1 species
AUAGUAAAUAAAUGGGAAAAUGUAAAGAUAGACAGCAAUCAGGGAAGACACCCAGGGUCAACCUCUGGUCUCCACACAUAGGUACACACACAUACCCAACACACACAGUUACUCAUGCAUACAUUGAUGAGCACAUAUGCCACAUCUAUACAAUACUACACACACACACACACACACACACAAAGUUGCUACAAAGUAUUAGGCCAACAAAAGAAAAUAACAAGUCUUGAAAGCGUGCUUGAAAAGCAAGCAUGAUAGACUGGACUCUCUCUCUGUCCUCUGUCUCUGUCUCUGUCUGUCUGUCUAUCUCCCCCCUCCCCAUGCAUUCAUGUGUAUGUGCAUAGGUAUGCAUGUAUAGAUGUGUGUGUGUGUGUGUGUGUGUGCGCGCAUGUGUGUGCAUGUGCAAUGAGGUAUGUCUAGUCUUCCUGUGACAUUGAACCCCGAGGAGUGGUACAAAGACGCCAGUCCAUCACAUUACUUACCUGCACUGAUGAUGAGGGGUCUAGUGGUGAUAGUGUCAGAGAAACUUCCCCUGAAGUAGCAACUUCUUCCUGUCAGAGUUCUGGAAGCAUCCUCACUGGACUGUGCAUCAGUGAUUCUUAGCUUUCUGCUAUCAGCUGACUCUGCUCUUGUCUGCUUCCUGAGCCUGAUCUUAGCUUUCUCAGGGAUGCUGUGCCCUACUUGGUAUUUUUCAAAAAGUCCUUUUUUAGUUAAGUCACAUAGAAUUGGUUGCUAAUGCUCAAACCUAGGUCCUGACACAUCCAAAAGCUGGUAACCGGGGCAUUGUUAUUGAAAGAGACUCUUAGGUAAACCAGGAGGCUCUGAUCAUGCAGACUCAGUAUUUCCAAAAAAAAAAAAAAAAUGAUAAAACCCAGUUAAUAUCAGAGAUAGAACUCUGAAAUCCCAUGCCUUUAGUAGCAAAAUGGUUAAUAAAAUGAACGCCUCUGCACAUUAGAGCCAAGGUGGGCCAUGGAGGACUACUGGUUGCCACAGGGCAAUGUGAAGGGUGGCUUAGAGGAUUCCAGAGCUGUGUGCUGUGUACUUCCAUCGAAAGGCUGAGCAGUGAGACUCUCUAGGUUUCCAUUCUAGAAUGUUCACCGAAACCCCGAGUAUGAGUGUGUAAGGGACUCUGAUGGUGCUCAGAAUGGAGACAGGGAGAACAAUACAGGAUCUUACUGACUGCUAACUUGCAAAUCAGUCUACCCUCUUACUCUGGCUCUUAUAUGAGCAUUAUUUGAUGUGCUGAUCUAGAAAGAUUAAGAUUUAUAAAAUUAAAUUGCUGUAGGGUGCAGGAUGGGAGGAGCUUAAGGAGCCCAGAUGUCCAAUUCUUAGUUUCUUGGCAGCUGUCGCUUUUGCUCCUCUGUUCAGUGCUUUUGGAAACCCCCAGUUUGAGGAGGUUACCUUUGGAGAGGAAGUCCGUUCCCUCAGGCCCCAGUCAUCUUCUGUCUCUAGAUCUAUAAUUAGGGUCAAACCCUAGCCUGAUCUAAGAGGAAAUUGAAGGGCUAAGAGCAGAGCUCACUGGUGGAAUGUCUGUCUAGUCUGCCCAGGGCGAUGCUUCAGUCCCCAGUACAGAAGAGGAGGAGAAGGAACAAGAGGAGGAGGAGGAACAAGAGGAGGAGGAGGAAGGAGAGGAAGAGAAA